rnacentral:rRNA from 1 species
AUUGAACGCUGGCGGCAUGCCUUACACAUGCAAGUCGAACGGUAACGGGCCUUCGGGUGCCGACGAGCGGCGAACGGGUGAGUAAUACAUCGGAACGUGCCCGAUCGUGGGGGAUAACGAGGCGAAAGCUUUGCUAAUACCGCAUACGAUCUACGGAUGAAAGCAGGGGACCGCAAGGCCUUGCGCGGACGGAGCGGCCGAUGGCAGAUUAGGUAGUUGGUGGGAUAAAAGCUUACCAAGCCGACGAUCUGUAGCUGGUCUGAGAGGAUGAUCAGCCACACUGGGACUGAGACACGGCCCAGACUCCUACGGGAGGCAGCAGUGGGGAAUUUUGGACAAUGGGCGCAAGCCUGAUCCAGCCAUGCCGCGUGCAGGAUGAAGGCCUUCGGGUUGUAAACUGCUUUUGUACGGAACGAAAAGCCUUCUUUUAAUACAGGAGGGUCAUGACGGUACCGGAAGAAUAAGCACCGGCUAACUACGUG